GUGACUGCGUACCUUUUGUAUAAUGGGUCAGCGACUUAUAUUCUGUAGCAAGGUUAACCGAAUAGGGGAGCCGGAGGGAAACCGAGUCUUAACCGGGCGUUAAGUUGCAGGGUAUAGACCCGAAACCCGGUGAUCUAGCCAUGGGCAGGUUGAAGGUUGGGUAACACUAACUGGAGGACCGAACCGACUAAUGUUGAAAAAUUAGCGGAUGACCUGUGGCUGGGGGUGAAAGGCCAAUCAAACCGGGAGAUAGCUGGUUCUCCCCGAAAGCUAUUUAGGUAGCGCCUCGUGAAUUCAUCUCCGGGGGUAGAGCACUGUUUCGGCUAGGGGGCCAUCCCGGCUUACCAACCCGAUGCAAACUGCGAAUACCGGAGAAUGUUAUCACGGGAGACACACGGCGGGUGCUAACGUCCGUCGUGAAGAGGGAAACAACCCAGACCGCCAGCUAAGGUCCCAAAGUCAUGGUUAAGUGGGAAACGAUGUGGGAAGGCCCAGACAGCCAGGAUGUUGGCUUAGAAGCAGCCAUCAUUUAAAGAAAGCGUAAUAGCUCACUGGUCGAGUCGGCCUGCGCGGAAGAUGUAACGGGGCUAAACCAUGCACCGAAGCUGCGGCAGCGACGCUUAUGCGUUGUUGGGUAGGGGAGCGUUCUGUAAGCCUGUGAAGGUGGCCUGUGAGGGUUGCUGGAGGUAUCAGAAGUGCGAAUGCUGACAUNACGUAUCACCCAAGACAACUUUACGGAGUUGACGAUUGACGGAGCGAAGCGACGUCAAAGCGUUCAUUAAAGUCGAGUUGGCUUAGGGAUACGUUCGUUGGGUAGGGGAGCGUUCUGUAAGCCUGCGAAGGUGGCCUGUGAGGGUUGCUGGAGGUAUCAGAAGUGCGAAUGCUGACAUAAGUAACGAUAAAGCGGGUGAAAAGCCCGCUCGCCGGAAGACCAAGGGUUCCUGUCCAACGUUAAUCGGGGCAGGGUGNUAAGUAACGAUAAAGCGGGUGAAAAGCCCGCUCGCCGGAAGACCAAGGGUUCCUGUCCAACGUUAAUCGGGGCAGGGUGAGUCGACCCCUAAGGCGAGGCCGAAAGGCGUAGUCGAUGGGAAACGGGUUAAUAUUCCCGUACUUGGUGUUACUGCGAAGGGGGGACGGAGAAGGCUAUGUUGGCCGGGCGACGGUUGUCCCGGUUUAAGCGUGUAGGUGUGUGUUCCAGGUAAAUCCGGUUCACUUUAACACUGAGGCGUGACGACGAGGCACUACGGUGCUGAAGCAACAAAUGCCCUGCUUCCAGGAAAAGCCUCUAAGCAUCAGGUAACAUCAAAUCGUACCCCAAACCGACACAGGUGGUCAGGUAGAGAAUACCAAGGCGCUUGAGAGAACUCGGGUGAAGGAACUAGGCAAAAUGGUGCCGUAACUUCGGGAGAAGGCACGCUGACACGUAGGUGAAGUGAUUUACUCAUGGAGCUGAAGUCAGUCGAAGAUACCAGCUGGCUGCAACUGUUUAUUAAAAACACAGCACUGUGCAAACACGAAAGUGGACGUAUACGGUGUGACGCCUGCCCGGUGCCGGAAGGUUAAUUGAUGGGGUCAGCGCAAGCGAAGCUCCUGAUCGAAGCCCCGGUAAACGGCGGCCGUAACUAUAACGGUCCUAAGGUAGCGAAAUUCCUUGUCGGGUAAGUUCCGACCUGCACGAAUGGCGUAAUGAUGGCCAGGCUGUCUCCACCCGAGACUCAGUGAAAUUGAACUCGCUGUGAAGAUGCAGUGUACCCGCGGCAAGACGGAAAGACCCCGUGAACCUUUACUAUAGCUUGACACUGAACAUUGAGCCUUGAUGUGUAGGAUAGGUGGGAGGCUUUGAAGUGUGGACGCCAGUCUGCAUGGAGCCGACCUUGAAAUACCACCCUUUAAUGUUUGAUGUUCUAACGUGGACCCGUGAUCCGGGUUGCGGACAGUGUCUGGUGGGUAGUUUGACUGGGGCGGUCUCCUCCUAAAGAGUAACGGAGGAGCACGAAGGUUGGCUAAUCCUGGUCGGACAUCAGGAGGUUAGUGCAAUGGCAUAAGCCAGCUUGACUGCGAGCGUGACGGCGCGAGCAGGUGCGAAAGCAGGUCAUAGUGAUCCGGUGGUUCUGAAUGGAAGGGCCAUCGCUCAACGGAUAAAAGGUACUCCGGGGAUAACAGGCUGAUACCGCCCAAGAGUUCAUAUCGACGGCGGUGUUUGGCACCUCGAUGUCGGCUCAUCACAUCCUGGGGCUGAAGUAGGUCCCAAGGGUAUGGCUGUUCGCCAUUUAAAGUGGUACGCGAGCUGGGUUUAGAACGUCGUGAGACAGUUCGGUCCCUAUCUGCCGUGGGCGCUGGAGAACUGAGGGGGGCUGCUCCUAGUACGAGAGGACCGGAGUGGACGCAUCACUGGUGUUCGGGUUGUCAUGCCAAUGGCACUGCCCGGUAGCUAAAUGCGGAAGAGAUAAGUGCUGAAAGCAUCUAAGCACGAAACUUGCCCCGAGAUGAGUUCUCCCUGAGACUUAGAGUCUCCUGAAGGAACGUUGAAGACGACGACGUUGAUAGGCCGGGUGUGUAAGCGCAGCGAUGCGUUGAGCUAACCGGUACUAAUGAACCGUGAGGCUUAACCUUACAACGCCGAAG
rnacentral:rRNA from 1 species